rnacentral:tRNA from 2 species
GGGCCUGUAGCUCAGUUGCGGUUAGAGCGUUCGCCUGAUAAGCGAAAGGUCACAGGUUCAACUCCUGUCAGGCCCA